UACGUAUGGAGCAAGCGUUAUCCGGAUUUACUGGGUGUAAAGGGAGCGCAGGCGGUCUGGCAAGUCUGAUGUGAAAGGCCGGGGCUCAACUCCGGGACUGCAUUGGAAACUGUCAGACUGGAGUGUCGGAGAGGUAGGCGGAAUUCCUAGUGUAGCGGUGAAAUGCGUAGAUAUUAGGAGGAACACCAGUGGCGAAGGCGGCUUACUGGACGAUGACUGACGCUGAGGCUCGAAAGCGUGGGGAGCAAACAGG
rnacentral:rRNA from 1 species